GUGUCCAUGGCCAGCAUCCCAUGUCCGCAGAUGCCUGGAAAGCAGAAGCCAGAGGAAUGCCAGCUAGAGAGACAUCAAAGUCAGCCACGCCCCCAAAAGCAUGGCUCUGACCUAGCUCUCUUAUUUUCAAACCUCUCUUCCCUUCCCAGGCAAGACGGUAAACUUGGUCUCUUAAAGCUGGUUUCUUCAAUGACUAGUAGAACAUAGAGAUUCCAUCUUCUACUGAACACAGAAGUCAUUUCCAAUACUCGCUGUGGAAAUUCCCUGUCUCUCUGCUUCCCAGAUGCUGGUAUUACAGAUAUCAGUCCCAAUGACAUGUCUGUAAAUCAGGACAGCCGAUACCGUUAUGGUGCGGAAGCUUGUAGGAAGACUUCCUAGACAAAGAAAAUGGCUGUCAAUUACUGAAGGAGUACAUACAUGGCCAUCCCAGACUCUCUUGUCUAGGUCUUAGAUUCUACCAUGCAUUUUACAUAUACAGCACAGCUCAUAUCAUCUCGACACUGCAUCUCCAUAGGACUGCUGGAAAGUGCUGCUGUGCAUCGUGGAGCGGCUUAGGGUCUCAGGAAAGCAGUAGGGAGCUGUAAUCUGAAUAACCCAGAGCUCAGUGGAAAAGAGGCUUAUGGAGGAGGGCUAAAGAUAAAAGAGGCAGAUUAGACAGGAAGAACCACAACUUGGGCUUGCUGGGCAGCAGGUGGCAGACAUGAUUGAAGACAGACAGUCCUAGGCUUUAGGGCCAUGUAACCAAAACACUUGAGAGAAAACUACAUACAAGAAUGUACUGCUGUCAGCCAUGUGACAAUGCCCAUGUCUUAAGAUGUGUGGGUUCAGAAAGAAGUGAUGUGCUUGACACAGGAUCCAGCCAUAACCCCAUGUGUCCUGAACAUCAAGACUGUGAGGCCAAGUUGAGCUUAGCUUCUAACACCAGAUGCACUAAUGACUGGAGCAGGCCAGUCAUAAAACAGACCAGGAAAGAAACAUAUACAUCAAGUUAGAUGAGCACCAGCCAAUUAGAAAGGGAGGCGACUGGGACAGCUCUGGGAAGAGGAGAAAAGAGCAGAGCCAAGGGUUCUACAUCCAGACUUGGACCAGAUCGCUGUGUUGGAGUUAUGUAUGGGUCUGUUCCCCUUGUUUCAAUGUUUAGAGACAGAGAAGGGGCCGACCCAGCACUACACAAGAGAAUGCUAACAUCCACCGGGGGAAGGGGCAGAGGGGAGGGGUGGGCAGAUGCUGUUUGGGAUUGAUCUUUGUGUGCAUGAACAUGUUCUACUUCAUCCCACAAUGCCUGGUGUGCAGUGUCACAUUCCACAUUAGACCAGCAUAGAAGACCCAUAACAAAAGUACUAGGAGCAGUGGGACCUGGCGGUGCAUGUCCACUGUCAUUGUCAGUCCUUAAGGAAUUAUGGCAGGAGGAGCAUGAGUUCAAGGCUGGCCCAGGCUAUGUAAAGAAAAGCAUGUAUCAAAAUGAAAAGGUUAUGUGCUCAAGGAUGAAAUAAAAUGUGGAAACAGAUGUGAGCAAAGGGGGUUGCAGCAAAUGCUAGAACUGGGAUCAUCUUGCAGCCCAGUUUCCCACUGCUUCCUGUCGGAGCACAGAACUGCUGGGUCCAACAGCUGAUGCUUGCAGCUCAGAAGGGGAGGGGCACCAGCGUGAGUACAUCACACCAACUACUUCAAUGGAUCCUUACAAUGGAAGGCUGAACUUAGUGAUACCAUCCAUUUUUCCUUUCUAGUUUCUAGGAAACUGAGGCAGACACAGGAAGACAAUUGACAGCUUUCCUCAGCUGGCUGGUGGCAAGACAGGGAUCCAGCCCCGCCAACUCCAUAUUUCACAGUACCUGAUCCAGAGGUGGGACUCCCCAAAUUGCCCCCACAAAUGAGACAUACCGAUAAGAGUGUGAGGCUGGAGAGAUAGUGAUGACAUGUACUCAAUGCUCUUCCAGGGGACCCAAGAUCAGUUCCCAACACCUAUUCCAGGCAGUUCACAACAGCCUGACACUCUAGAGCCGGGGAUCUUAUGCCCCCUUCUGGCCUGUAUGGGUGUUGCACUCAUGUGCACAAACCCAUUUAAAUCACCUAAUUAAAAAAAGAUGUGACCUUCAUGUGCCACCAUCCCCCAGAGCUAUCCUUCAGACUUCUUAAGCACCAUGCUCACUGCAUCUGCCGAAAUCUGAACCAGGUGCAAGGUAGAGGAGAUGAAGGUGGGUGUGUUCAUGGGACAGUGGAAGUCACUUUCUUUCACACUAUUACUAGUGUGCUCACUAGUGAUAGUGGCUCACUAGUGGGCACUCUAGCUUCAUCAGUGAACUACAGGCUUAGUGACACUGCUCACCAAUUUUGCCUUACAGUAGAUAAGAAAUGUUGGCAUGUCCUUAUUCAGCACCUAAGCAGACAAUGCACUCCAUAGACAUUGGGAGGGAAUAGAUCUGGAGUGGUUGCAGAACAACACUGUGACACAGCUUUCUCACUAUUGCCUGUUUUUCUACUAAGAUUAAACUUC
rnacentral:lncRNA from 1 species